rnacentral:rRNA from 1 species
UUGACCUCAAAUCAGGUAGGACUACCCGCUGAACUUAAGCAUAUCAAUAAGCGGAGGAAAAGAAACUAACAAGGAUUCCCCUAGUAACUGCGAGUGAAGCGGGAAAAGCUCAAAUUUAAAAUCUGGUAGUCUUUGGCUGCCCGAGUUGUAAUCUAGAGAAGCAUUAUCUGCGCUGGACUGUGUAUAAGUGUCCUGGAAUAGACCAUCAUAGAGGGUGACAAUCCCGUCUUUGACACAGACUCCCAGUGCUUUGUGAUGUGCUCUCAAAGAGUCGAGUUGUUUGGGAAUGCAGCUCUAAAUGGGUGGUAAGUUCCAUCUAAAGCUAAAUAUUGGCGAGAGACCGAUAGCGAACAAGUACCGUGAGGGAAAGAUGAAAAGAACUUUGUAAAGAGAGUUAAACAGUACGUGAAAUUGCUGAAAGGGAAACGCUUGAAGUCAGUCGCGUUGGCUGGGGAUCAACCAUUGCUUUUGCUUGGCUUACUUCCCAGUUGACGGGUCAGCAUCAGUUUUGACCAGUGGAUAAAGGCUAGGGGAAUGUGGCACCUCCGGGUGUGUUAUAGCCCUUGGUCAUAUACAUUGAUUGGGACUGAGGAACUCAGCACUUUAAGUGCUUAGGAUGCUGGCAUAAUGGCUUUAAGCGACCCGUCUUGAAACACGGACCAAGGAGUCUAACAUGCCCGCAAGUGUUUGGGUGGAAAACCCAA